rnacentral:rRNA from 1 species
UACGUAGGGUGCAAGCGUUAAUCGGAAUUACUGGGCGUAAAGCGUGCGCAGGCGGUUUUGUAAGUCUGUCGUGAAAUCCCCGGGCUUAACCUGGGAACUGCAUUUGUGACUGCAAGGCUAGAGUAUGGCAGAGGGGGGUAGAAUUCCACGUGUAGCAGUGAAAUGCGUAGAUAUGUGGAGGAAGACCGAUGGCGAAGGCAGCCCCCUGGGUCAAUACUGACGCUCAUGCACGAAAGCGUGGGGAGCAAACAGG